UGGGGAAUUUUGCGCAAUGGGCGAAAGCCUGACGCAGCGACGCCGCGUAAGGGAUGAAGGUCCUCGUGAUCGUAAACCUUUGUCAGGAAGGAUUAAAUAUAUGAAUGCUAAUACCAUUUAUAUUUGACUUAACUUCCAGAGGAAGCCCCGGCUAACUACGUGCCAGCAGCCGCGGUAAGACGUAGGGGGCGAGCGUUACUCGGAUUCACUGGGCGUAAAGCGAAUGUAGGCGGCUUUGUAAGUCAGGGGUGAAAUCCCUCAGCUUAACUGAGGAAGUGCCUUUGAUACUGCAUGGCUGGAGGACAGGAGAGGAAAGUGGAAUUCCCGGUGUAGCGGUGGAAUGCGUAGAUAUCGGGAGGAACACCUGAGGCGAAGGCGGCUUUCUGGACUGUUCCUGACGCUGAGAUUCGAAAGCUAGGGGAGCAAACAGG
rnacentral:rRNA from 1 species